rnacentral:rRNA from 1 species
GGAAGUCUUGGUCAUUUAUUGGAAGUAAAAGUCGUAACAAGGUCUCCGUAGGUGAACCUGCGGAGGGAUCAUUACACAAAUAUGAAGGCGGGCUGGAACCUCUCGGGGUUACAGCCUUGCUGAAUUAUUCACCCUUGUCUUUUGCGUACUUCUUGUUUCCUUGGUGGGUUCGCCCACCACUAGGACAAACAUAAACCUUUUGUAAUUGCAAUCAGCGUCAGUAACAAAUUAAUAAUUACAACUUUCAACAACGGAUCUCUUGGUUCUGGCAUCGAUGAAGAACGCAGCGAAAUGCGAUAAGUAGUGUGAAUUGCAGAAUUCAGUGAAUCAUCGAAUCUUUGAACGCACAUUGCGCCCUUUGGUAUUCCAAAGGGCAUGCCUGUUCGAGCGUCAUUUGUACCCUCAAGCUUUGCUUGGUGUUGGGCGUCUUGUCUCUAGCUUUGCUGGAGACUCGCCUUAAAGUAAUUGGCAGCCGGCCUACUGGUUUCGGAGCGCAGCACAAGUCGCACUCUCUAUCAGCAAAGGUCUAGCAUCCAUUAAGCCUUUUUUUCAACUUUUGACCUCGGAUCAGGUAGGGAUACCCGCUGAACUUAAGCAUAUCAAUAAGCGGAGGAAA